CAUUCACGGAGAGUUUGAUCCUGGCUCAGGACGAACGCUGGCGGCGUGCUUAACACAUGCAAGUCGAACGAUGAACCGGUUUCGGCCGGGGAUUAGUGGCGAACGGGUGAGUAACACGUGGGCAAUCUGCCCUGCACUCCGGGACAAGCCCUGGAAACGGGGUCUAAUACCGGAUA
rnacentral:rRNA from 1 species